rnacentral:rRNA from 1 species
UACGUAGGGGGCAAGCGUUGUCCGGAAUCAUUGGGCGUAAAGCGCGUGUAGGCGGCCCGGUAAGUCCGCUGUGAAAGUCGGGGCUCAACCCUCGAAUGCCGGUGGAUACUGUCGGGCUAGAGUGCGGAAGAGGCGAGUGGAAUUCCUGAUGUAGCGGUGAAAUGCGCAGAUAUCAGGAGGAACACCAAUUGCGAAGGCAGCUCGCUGGGACGUGACUGACGCUGAGACGCGAAAGCGUGGGGAGCAAACAGG